rnacentral:rRNA from 1 species
GAUGAACGCUGGCGGCGUGCCUAAUACAUGCAAGUCGAGCGAACAGAUGAGGAGCUUGCUCCUCUGACGUUAGCGGCGGACGGGUGAGUAACACGUGGAUAACCUACCUAUAAGACUGGGAUAACUUCGGGAAACCGGAGCUAAUACCGGAUAAUAUAUUGAACCGCAUGGUUCUAUAGUGAAAGACGGUUUUGCUGUCACUUAUAGAUGGAUCCGCGCCGCAUUAGCUAGUUGGUAAGGUAACGGCUUACCAAGGCAACGAUGCGUAGCCGACCUGAGAGGGUGAUCGGCCACACUGGAACUGAGACACGGUCCAGACUCCUACGGGAGGCAGCAGUAGGGAAUCUUCCGCAAUGGGCGAAAGCCUGACGGAGCAACGCCGCGUGAGUGAUGAAGGGAUUCGGAUCGUAAAACUCUGUUAUUAGGGAAGAACAAAUGUGUAAGUAACUAUGCACGUCUUGACGGUACCUAAUCAGAAAGCCACGGCUAACUACGUG